rnacentral:lncRNA from 1 species
CUGUAUGCAUAUUGCCAAAACUUUUCUUCUUUUGCUUUAUUCUGACAAAAUUCAUGCAAGAGAUCAUGAAUUCGGCACGAUUUAACCCUGCCAUUAUAUCUCAUUUUUGCAUCCAUUACUAGGCUUCUGCUAAUAAGAUCGACCAAGUAUUCUUCUGCAAUAUCUUCUAAGCUCUUUGGUUUAUGUUUUCUAACCAAGCCCUCGGCAAUCCACUUCCAUGUUAACUUUGAGACUGGGUAACAGGCUUCUGCUAAUAAGAUCGACCAAAUAUUCUUCUGCCAUAUCUUCUAAGCUCUUUGUUUUAUGUUUUCUAACCAAGCCCUCGGCAAUCCACUUCCAUGUUAACUUUGAGACUGGAAUUUCU